rnacentral:rRNA from 1 species
GCUGGCGACCAUAGCAAGAGUGAACCACCUGAUCCCUUCCCGAACUCAGAAGUGAAACCUCUUAGCGCUGAUGGUAGUGUGGGGUUUCCCAGUGAGAGUAAGUCAUCGCCAGCU